rnacentral:rRNA from 1 species
CACCUGACCCCAUGCCGAACUCAGCAGUGAAACGCCGUAGCGCCGAUGGUAGUGUGGGGUCUCCCCAUGUGAGAGUAGGGAACUGCCAGAC